GACCCUUUCUAGCUGAGAUGAAACAAGAAGGAUAGGCGACAAGCCGAGAGGGCAUCUGUGGUUUCUGUUUGGCCACAGAUCCUGGGGUUACAGAAAGACACCUUCAUUCCGUUACAGCAGUGAUGGUGCAGAUUCAGAAAGGAAGUGCAGACCUCCAAGGUCGUGGACUUUCUCUGAGAAGAAAAAAGAUCUAAUGAAGGAAGCCACAAAGAGAUGGCAAGGGAACCAAGGCAGGAAUGAGUCUGUCGAUAGCAAUUUCCACUGGCCUUUGUUAUGUGCAAGACAAAGAGGCGACAUCUAAGGCUGAGUCCUUCAAGGACAAUGAUAAACCAACAGAGCUUUCCCAAGCAUCUGCAGUAGGUUCACAGAUUAACUGGGUCAGCGUCUCAUUUGCAACUCAGCUGGUGAAUGAUUCUCCUGCCCUUCAGAUAUGUUUGACAGUUUGUUCUCUGUGCUUUGAGGAAUCCAUGAAGACAAUUGAUCAGUUAAGAAUGGAUUCCAUGAAGAAGAAAAGAGAGAAAAAGAGAAGAGAAGAAGUCACUGCCAGGAUGAUUCACGUUGGGAAUAAGAGGCCAAACCCUGACUACCAGAUUUCCUGA
rnacentral:lncRNA from 1 species